GCGAGCGGCGGAUGGGUGAGUAACACGUGGGGAACCUGCCCCUAAGUCUGGGAUACCAUUUGGAAACAGGUGCUAAUACCGGAUAAUAAAGCAGAUCGCAUGAUCAGCUUUUGAAAGGCGGCGUAAGCUGUCGCUAAGGGAUGGCCCCGCGGUGCAUUAGCUAGUUGGUAAGGUAACGGCUUACCAAGGCGACGAUGCAUAGCCGAGUUGAGAGACUGAUCGGCCACAUUGGGACUGAGACACGGCCCAAACUCCUACGGGAGGCAGCAGUAGGGAAUCUUCCACAAUGGACGCAAGUCUGAUGGAGCAACGCCGCGUGAGUGAAGAAGGUUUUCGGAUCGUAAAGCUCUGUUGUUGGUGAAGAAGGAUAGAGGUAGUAACUGGCCUUUAUUUGACGGUAAUCAACCAGAAAGUCACGGCUAACUACGUGCCAGCAGCCGCGGUAAUACGUAGGUGGCAAGCGUUGUCCGGAUUUAUUGGGCGUAAAGCGAGCGCAGGCGGAAAAAUAAGUCUAAUGUGAAAGCCCUCGGCUUAACCGAGGAACUGCAUCGGAAACUGUUUUUCUUGAGUGCAGAAGAGGAGAGUGGAACUCCAUGUGUAGCGGUGGAAUGCGUAGAUAUAUGGAAGAACACCAGUGGCGAAGGCGGCUCUCUGGUCUGCAACUGACGCUGAGGCUCGAAAGCAUGGGUAGCGAACAGGAUUAGAUACCCUGGUAGUCCAUGCCGUAAACGAUGAGUGCCAAGUGUUGGGAGGUUUCCGCCUCUCAGUGCUGCAGCUAACGCAUUAAGCACUCCGCCUGGGGAGUACGACCGCAAGGUUGAAACUCAAAGGAAUUGACGGGGG
rnacentral:rRNA from 1 species